CGUGCUGCUGGAGUGCGCCACCGCCAUGACUGCGGUGAUGGCAGGCGCAAAGCGGAAGGCCGGCGAG
rnacentral:sRNA from 1 species